GCUCGUCUGAUGGUUCGACGCUGUGUUUCCGUCUUGUUUGAUGUCUGGUAAGAAGCAACAGCAACAAUAGGUGCACGCUCUGUAUAUGUGCAGAGCAUUGGACUCACACAGUAAAGGCUAUUGCCUUUUGUAAGUCCGGCAUUGUGUUGGGCAAACUGAACGGACGUGUGUAAAGGGAUUGGACAGAAGUUCCCUUUUCAUGUGGAAAUGAAUCUCUUCCAAAGGGACAAAACCGCUUUUCUCCGUUGGUCACACAGGGAGGAUUUAAAAAUAAAAUUACCUUCCCAUUUACAUCUGAGGGGAAAGCAAAUAUUUAAUGCAAAAAAAAAAAAGUUUGUGUAAGGCAAUAUCAAACAUUUUAUAAUUUCUUUUACAAAAUGAGAACAGCUCAAGGAAAAUGAAAGCUUGAUAUUUUGCAUAUGAGUCCGAUUUAUUCACAUUGCUGAAGUUUUUCACUGUCUUCUUCGUUAAAAGAGGACGGAGAUGGAUGCCUCUCUGCAGAGCUUUCAAACCUCAGAGGACACUUUGAAAUGAGGUGGGAGGGCCUUGGCUUUUCUUCAUAGGCCAUUCUGUGAACAUUUCUAUUGAUUGUAGUGGGUCGCUAUAGCACCACGGCGAAAGAGGAAAGCUACAAAACCUGAGAAACCAGACAGAUAGAAAGCAAUUUUCCGGGCAAUGAAAGAUGAGCCGCCGUUGCCCUUCAAUCAGUCAGCAACACUUGAAGUAUUCCAGAGCAAACAGCACCAUGCAACCAUGAAAAGAAAGACCUUGAGCUUUGAUAAUUCACUGGCUCCUGUGUGAAGCUCGACAUGGACGAAGGUCAACCAACAUCACCCCCUGACACUCUGAAAGGACACAGGCGUGAAGAAGCAGAGAGGAAGCCUAUUGCAGAUCAAUUAAACACAUGCCUCCCUCCAACAUGGCCGUCCAUUAGAACACAUGUGAACCUCGCGUGUUGCUGCCUCUGGUGGCCGGAGUAGUUAUGACAGGAGAAGAGGAGGAAGAUGACUGGGCAUGAAGAGCAUCACUGGUCAAGACUCACGAGUCUGUGCACUCCACUUAAAAUCCUUCUUUUGUGCUUUUGGAUUGCAUUUACAAUGUUUACCAUCAAAACCAUCAGCACACUACCCACAAUGGUGAUGCAAUGAGGUGCCGAUCGAAGGUUUGUUCACGAUGACUUUAUGUAUUUUAUCAAUGUUUGUCCACAAGAAAGUAUUGAGGGUUUCAUACUUUGACUGUAAAAUUGUAUCCUGUAUGUUAGUCAUAAUAAUACAAAUAAAGAUCCAUGUGUUGAUGUUCACAACUUGCUUUGGCUUUGAAAAUGCUCCAUUAAUCCGGCUGUAUCAUGUCAAUAG